rnacentral:tRNA from 1 species
UUCUGGUUCGAGUCCAGGAUGGCCCACCUGAAAGAGAAAAAAUGGGGGUAUAGCUCAGUUGGUAGAGCGCUGCCUUUGCACGGCAGAAGCCAGCGGUUCGAGUCCGCUUACCUCCAGUGGGGCGAGAAAAGCAAGCAAAAAGAGUCCAGCAACUCAAAUGGGACAAAAACCAGGGAGACUGCUGGAGGAAAAACCAGCCAGAACCUUGAAAACUGCA